rnacentral:lncRNA from 1 species
AUGUUGAAAAUGAGAACAACAGAGAAGCCAUUAAACGACAGGCUAUUUCUGAGGUCGCUUUGGACAUGGGUCAGCAAUGAGAGGCGUUGCAACCCAACCCCCUCUUUAAAGCCAGUGUUAAAGGAUCCGAAGAUGGGAAUGAAAACGUCCCUGUUUCUUCAUCGUUUAGGCCUGAUAGAAUUAUUUCAACAAAAUGUUAAGGAAGAACUGAAGGCUGUGCUUCUAAUAGCUGAAUCUACCAUGGUGCUUCAAUCUGAUUGGCCAGAGAGGGA